GGGCUUGUUUGGAUUUGACGGCAAGACGAGAUGGUAUGUAAGCAUGCAGAGCGUUGGUGGUUAGCUCUUUAAUCUCAGUCAUCGAACAAUUAAUUGGCGAAAACAAUUACGCUCUCGCUGCCUAACCGAAGUACAGUAGGUUACUGGCUUUAUUCAGCUAUUAGAUAGCUGAACGAGACACCACUCUGGAGAUGUUGUUCCGAGUUGAAGGGCAAAGUGGUGCAGGCUUUUCGGGAAGAGUCUUUGUAUGCCUCGCUGCAAAGAUGAAAUUUAGAGGAUAAGGUGUUGGUUGGUGGUCUAGGUCUUGCCAACACUCGAAAACCGAAGGCUAGAAUAAGCAUGUAGAAAGCGUAUGGUUUCCUUGUUCGGACGUGGGUUCGACUCCCACCAGGUCCACUA
rfam:Prevotella bivia DSM 20514 genomic scaffold Prebiscaffold_3, whole genome shotgun sequence.